rnacentral:rRNA from 1 species
AUGCCGCUCUUCCACCUCGCCCCAUGCGCUCGCCCCGCCGCCGGGCGCGCCGCGUCCCGCUUUUCCGGGGCGGUGGUCGCCGCCAGCGGCGCCGGAGGAGCGCGUCCUCCGAAGGCGCCCCCGCGGCGCCCGCGCGGCAAGCCCCGGUUCUCGCGGCAGUCGGCCAUCAAGAAGAGCUUCCAGCAGGAGCAGGUGGUCUUCUCCACCCCCGUGCCCGCCGACCCCACCGUCGCCAUCAUCGGAGGCGGAGCCUCUGGCCUCGCCUGCGCGUCCGCCCUCGCCGCCCGCGGCGUCCGCGCCGUCGUAUUCGACACGGGUAUGCACGGCUUAGGUGGCAGGAUGGCGACCAGGAUGGUCGACGACGGGCGGCGGCUGGUGUUCGACCACGCGGCACAGUUCUUCACCGCGAGCGACCAGAGGUUCCAGGAGCUGGUCGAUGAGUGGGUCGAGAAAGGGUUGGCCCGCGAAUGGAGGGGCUCGAUCGGUGAGCUCGAGGCAGGUGGCCAUUUCACAGCUAUACCUUCCUCGACGCCAAGGUAUAUCGGCGUGAGAGGAAUGCGCCCGCUUGCCGACGCAAUGCUGCCCGAGAAUGACCUGAUUAAAGUUGUAAGGCCUUCCUGGAUAAGCAAGCUUGAGCCGUUCAACGGCCUGUGGCGCUUGUUUGAGAAUGAGAAGCCCCAGGGUCAAUAUGAUGCCGUUGUAAUAGCACACAAUGGGAAAUGUGCAAACCGUCUGCUUUCUACGUCAGGUCUACCCCAACUGACAAGGCAAAUGAAGAGACUGGAGUUGAGUUCUGUCUGGGCACUACUUGCGGCAUUUGAUGAUCCUCUUCCAAUCCCACAAGAUAACUCUUAUGGCACAUUUGAAGGAGCAUUUGUGAGAGAUAUUGAUUCUCUCUCUUGGAUGGCCAACAAUACUCGGAAGCUUUUCCCUUUGGAGACAAACAGGCCCGAGUGCUGGACAUUUUUCAGCACUGCUUCUUAUGGAAAGAAAAACAAAGUUCCACAGGAAAAUAUCCCAAAUGCCACUGCAGAAAAAGUGAAACGAGACAUGCUUGGGGGAGUUGAACUUGCUCUGGGGCUCUCGACAGGAUCUCUUCAGCGACCAUUUUACACAAGAGUACAGUUGUGGGGUGCAGCUUUACCGAUGAACACUCCAGGAGUACCAUGCAUAUUUGAUCCCCAGGGUCGAGCAGGCAUUUGUGGUGACUGGCUCACGGGUUCAAGUAUAGAAGCAGCAGUAUUGAGCGGAAUGUCUCUUGGAGAUCAUGUCGCUGACUACUUUGCGAGCGGUGGGGAACGGCCUGAGGAGUUUGCGAUUGGUCUGGAUGACAGCCUAAACCGAGUAGAAGGUCAUGACAUCGGGCAGUUCCCAGGUUUGGACCCCCAGAAGCCACAGGUAGCUGAACCUCAGCUGGCACCGAGCAUAUGA